rnacentral:misc_RNA from 1 species
AUCGACACUUUGAACGCAUAUUGCAGGCCUGUGCUUGUCACAGGCCUACCCUUGUGUCAGGGUCGGUUAUACAACAUCCAUCAAGAUGCUUGCAUCUUGCAUUGUCUGGUCGGCUGCCCUAGGUGGACCGCUAGAUUAAGGUGUAUCCUGCAGGCGUGACUUGCUUCAACUCUUGGGACUCAACUCCCGGGUUGGUAGCGCAGUCCCUGCUCACGGGUACAGGUGUGUGAGGAGCUGACUGACAUUUCAUCCUCUUUCGUCACCGACCAUUAACUUUUCGACCUGACAUCAAGGGAGAC